AGAUUAAACUGAAGAGUUUGAUCCUGGCUCAGAUUGAACGCUAGCGGCAUGCCUUACACAUGCAAGUCGAACGGCAGCGGGGGAGCUUGCUCCCGCCGGCGAGUGGCAAACGGGUGAGUAAUACAUCGGAACGUGCCCAGUAGUGGGGGAUAGCCCGGCGAAAGCCGGAUUAAUACCGCAUACG
rnacentral:rRNA from 1 species